GUGCCAGCCGCCGCGGUAAUACCGGCAGCUCGAGUGGUCGUCGCUUUUAUUGGGCCUAAAACGUCCGUAGCCUGUUUGGUAAAUCUGUGGGUAAAUCAACCAGCUUAACUGGUUGAAUUCUGCAGAGACUGCCAGACUAGGGACCGGGAGAGGUGUGGGGUACUCUCGGGGUAGGGGUAAAAUCCUGUCAUCCUGGGAGGACCACCAGUUGCGAAGGCGCCACACUGGAACGGAUCCGACGGUCAGGGACGAAGCCUAGGGGCACGAACCGGAUUAGAUACCCGGGUAGUCCUAGGAGUAAACGCUGUGAACUUGGUGUCGGGGAUCCUACUUGGGUUCCCGGUGCCGGAGUGAAGAUGUUAAGUUCACUGCCUGGGGAGUACGGUCGCAAGGCUGAAACUUAAAGGAAUUGGCGGGGGAGCACUGCAACGGGAGGAGCGUGCGGUUUAAUUGGAUUCAACGCCGGAAAACUCACCAAGGCCGACUGUUAUAUGAAGACCAGCGUAAUGAGCUUGUCGGAUUUUCAGAGAGGUGGUGCAUGGCCGUCGUCAGUUCGUACUGCAAAGCGUUCUGUUAAGUCAGAUAACGAACGAGACCCGCAUCCCUAUUUGCCACCCUGUUCUCCGGAGCAGGCGCACCAUAGGGAGACCGCUGGUGUUAAACCAGAGGAAGGCGCGGGCAACGACAGGUCAGUAUGCCCCGAAUGUCCUGGGCUACACGCGCGCUACAAAGGACGGGACAAUGGGAAGCCAGGCCGAGAGGCCGAGCUAACCCGAAACCCGUUCAUAGUUCGGAUCGAGGGCUGUAACUCGCCCUCGUGAAGCUGGAUUCCGUAGUAAUCGUGUUUCAACAUAGCACGGUGAAUAUGCCCCUGCUCCUUGCACACACCGCCCGUCAAGGACGAC
rnacentral:rRNA from 1 species